rnacentral:rRNA from 1 species
CAGCAGCCGCGGUAAUACCGGCGGCCCGAGUGGCGGCCACUAUUAUUGGGCUUAAAGCGUCCGUAGCCGGGUUGGGAAGUCCUCCGGGAAAUCUGGCCGCUUAACGGUCAGAAUGCCGGAGGAUACUCCCAGCCUAGGGAGCGGGCGAGGCCGAGGGUAUUCCCGGAGUAGGGGCGAAAUCCUAUAAUCCCGGGAGGACCACCUGUGGCGAAGGCGCUCGGCUGGAACGCGUCCGACGGUGAGGGACGAAGGCCAGGGGAGCAAACCGGAUUAGAUACCCGGGUAGUCCUGGCUGUAAACGAUGCGGACUUUGUGUCGGACAAGCUAUGAGCUUGUCCGGUGCCGGAGGGAAACCGUUAAGUCCGCCGCCUGGGGAGUACGGCCGCAAGGCUGAAACUUAAAGGAAUUGGCGGG